AGGCCGAGGCAGGGGGAAGCCCAGGGGGAGGAAGCUGAAUAAAGAUCGUGCCUAAGUAGCCUGCUCCUGAGCGCUGUCUGCUUCGUAUUAACCCUAACCCUAUUUUCCAGGAGCGUGUCCUCGUGAUCCCUAAGGGCAGCCACGGCAAGACGCAAGUGAGAGUUUGGGUGCUUGCAAGAAAAGCUGGAGGGAGCCCCGCGCUCCUGCCUGGGGUCCAGGGACCAGCGCGCUGUCAUUUAAUUCGUGGUGUGGGAAUAUGCUGACAGAAACGUGCAACUCCGGGUGUGGGACCUCAAGAGAGGAGAUCCCGAUUGGGAUUACGGCUUAGAAAGUUGAUCGUCUUCCAACAGGGUCAGUGAGGUGCGAGAUGACAACGCGGAGAUCCUAGUCCACCGACCGUUCCUGAUGUGCUCGGUAACCGCCGCCACUGCCUCGGGACAGCAGCAGGGUCGCGACCCUGCCGUGUGGCUGCUUGGGGACCGGGGACGGCGGCCGAGCCGGAAGCGCACGGCGGCGACCGGCCAGGCUUGUUUCCCAUUGGGCAGCAGCCGGCACGUGCUCGCUUGCCCCCGGAAACGUGACCGGCUGAGUCUGCCGGGCGACUCCGCCAGCCUCAGACAAAGGAGCCCGCGGCCCGGCUUCCGCUCCCCUUCCUCGCCGCACGUUUUCUGGGUUGUGGAGGUGAGGCCCGGGGUGGCUGGGGGUUCCCCUCGGGGUGGACUGCCUGGCGCCCCCAGCAUCCCGGGCACGGCUCUCUGUUAGGCCGGGUUGCCCCUGCUGCUGCCUACCGCCGGCUCCUUUUAAGUGUCGCUGAGACACUUUAGAAGGGCGAAAGGCAGGCUGGGGGUGGGGCUGUGUAGCUCAGCGAUCCUGCUUAGCAUGAGACCGGUAGAUCCAACCCCUUUCCCUCUCCCUGUCUCUCUCUCCCUCUCCCCUCCCCCUUUCCUCCCAGCCCCCCUUUCCCUGCCUCUAUCUCUCCCUCAUGGCCCCGCUCCAAGAAGACCUUUUGCUGUCACCCACCCCCCAAUAAACCUCUGACACUAGAUCGAUUCCCCGGGGCCGUUUCUUAGCGGCAUACCUUGGCACAGCCUGCCAAAGGUGCCGCACCCCUGGCCACUCGACGCUGGCAGCCUCUUCCUCCAGCCCUCACAUUCUUUCCGCCCCCUCCUGUGAUCUUUCUCAGCCUUAGAAGGGGUGACAAUAUGGACAGUCAUCUUAAGGCCAAGCAUUCAACAAUAACCCGGUCUCCGAGCUUUGGCCUGCAAAAAAGAAGUGCUUUGUUUUUGUUUUUGUUUUUCUGACCAAAACUGUGAUAUUCGGAAACCAUUCUGACAGGCACAUCAAGUCCAUUUAGCAAAACGGCAGCAAUUUCCCCACCAGAGUUUAUGAUCGCCACAGUCAGGGCUCUUAAUCAGAUUUACGGUACCAGAAGGGAAUUCCUUCCUGUGGAGAGCCUCGGGUCUAAUCAGGAGGCAGUUAGAUGCCAUCAUGACAGGGUCGCCUGCUCCUGCCCCAGCAAGCGCAGCUUGCCUAGCAGGUAAGUAGUAUAGCAUGUGCGUUUCACAGAGGAGUACAAUUGCUGACGACAAUUCUUCCCCAGCAACCCUGCAUAGUACUAUGACAGGGAGCUAGCAGGAAGGAGGCUCCUGUCUGCUUCCUACUUCAUUUGUCUCCAUCCCGCAACCAGAGCAUGUGGUCCGUCACAUAACAGGGUUUUCUCAUCUAGUUCCGGUGUGCAGCCAGCUGUGCUGCCAAUGUCUGCAUGGUUUUAGGGGCAUCAGAGGUCCCCCUCACCAACAGCUCAUAGGGAGGAAGCUUAUCCCGGGACUCACUGGGAUUUUCAUUUAAUAACCUAUGGCUUCUUGGAGCAGCUUUCUACACCCAUACAGUACCUUGUGGCAGGAUAUUUGAACACCGUGAACCCCGAGAUUGUGUUACUUACUGGAAAGACCUGUUUCUAGCUGUGGUGUGGCUCAGCCCUAACAUAUACCUUUAAUCCAAGAGCUUUCUGCUUGAAUAUUGUAAACAGGAUUAAAUAAAGUCAACCAUGAGUCAUGAGUCAGAGCAAGCAACCAGCUGACAGGAAAUGAAUAUAGGAUUAUUAAGAAAAAGCCAGAGAGAGUAAGAGGAAAUCAGGGGGGGGGUGAACAGAGAGAUACACAGGAAGCAGAAGGGAGGGGCCUUCAGCUGGAGUUUUUUAAAGACUGCGUGGGAGAAGGAGCAUGCCUUUUUGGACAUCAGUUGAGGAGGAAGAUCAACUGAGCUCAUUCUCUGCCUCUCUGAGCUAGCAGGCUUUCACUGCAGUGUCAGCCUCUGGAGUGUUUAUUGGCAAAUUCAAAUGUUUGAGAUUUUGUUAAAAAUAACAUUACCCCUGUUAAUUUUCUUUUUAAAUUUUACUAACUUACCAAAUAAACAUAUGGCUUUUAAGUAAUUCUUAGUUUGACAAUUCAUUCUUUACAGUAUUUGCAGCAGAAACUGUAACUUUCUUUUUCUUUCUUUUCUUUUAUUUUUUUGAGAAAGGGACUUCCUGUGUAGCUCUGGUUGUCCCAGAACUCGCUAUGUAGGCCGGGGUGCCUCCCUGAGGGUCCGCCUGCCUCUGCUUCCUAGUGCUGGGACUAAAAGCGUGUGCCACCACUCCCAGCUGGAGCUGUAAAUAUCUAAGAGGCUUAAGUUAGGGCUGGAGAGAUGGCUCCGAGGUUAAGAGCACUGGCCCUUCUUCCUAAAGGUCCUGAGUUCAAUUCCCAGCGGCCACAUGGUACCUUACAACCAUCUAUAGUGAGAUCUGGUGUCCUCUUCUGGCCUGCAGGUGUACAUGCAGGGGAGACACUAUAUAAAUCUUUUUAAAAAAUUAUUCUUUUUAAGAAGGUAAAAUUAACAGUUAGAAAAGGGACACAGAGGUGGCUCAGUAGUUAAGACCUGGCUUUGGUUCCUAGCACCCACACUGGGUGGCGCACACAGUUCUAACCCCAGUUCCAGAGGGAUCUAGUGCCCUCUUCAGGCCGCUGUGAGCACUGCAAGCAUGGCCAGUGAACACCCAACAUCCUCUUGUCUUUGGCCCCAGUUCUCGGAUUAUAUACCCAUCUUUUUUGUAUUAUUUUUAUUAAUUACAGUUUAUUCACUUUGUAUCCCCCCUGUACCUCCCUUCCUCCUCCCCUCCAGCCCCACCCUUCCUCCCUCUUCCCCAACUGUGUCCCUCUCUUAGUCCACUGAAAAGGGAGGUCCUCCUCCCCUUCCCUCUGAUCCUAGUCUAUCAGGUCUCAUCAGGAGUGGCUGCAUUGUCUUCCUCUGUGGCCUGGUAAGGCUGCUCCCCCCUCAGGGGGAGGUGAUCAAAGAGCAGGCCAAUCAGUUCAUGUCAGAGAUAGUCCUUAUUCCUAUUACAAUGGAACCCACUUGGACACUGAACUGCCAUGGGCUACAUCUGUGCUGGGGUUCCAGGCCAUCUCCAUGAAUGGUCCUUGGUUGGAGUAUCAAUCUCAGAAAAGACCCCUGUUUACCUAUCUUUUUACACGAUGCUGGGAUCCAUACUCAGCAGCAUGAAUUUUACCUACUAAACCAUCUCCCCAGACCCUGGUUUUCACUUUUAACUGUUUACCAAAUGUGAAGCUGGUAUUGGAAAAAGGAAAACAACCCCAAAUAUAUGUCUACUUGGAAAUUCCAGGGGAAUUAGAAACUUAAGGUGAACAGUGAAACCAUGACACUUUUAGAGGGUAGCUAUCUUAUGAUGGGGACUCUUUCUUGAACUACUAAAAGCACAGGCUGUAGAAGAAAAGACUAACAACAAGAAGGCUAUGUUAUCUCAAAAUAACAGAAAGGAAAAAUUGUGAUAAUCUAUUACUCCCCAGAAGUUGACAAAACCUUGUUGAAUCUGUCCAAACCAGGUUUUGGCAGCGAUGGGACAGGCCAAACCCCAGAGCAGUAGGUAGAAAGAAAUAAUAAAGACCA